rnacentral:rRNA from 1 species
UCGAGAAUUUUUCUCAAUGGGGGAAACCCUGAAGGAGCGACGCCGCGUGGAGGAUGAAGGUCUUCGGGUUGUAAACUCCUGUCAUUUGGGAACAAUGCGUAAAUAUUAACUGUAUUUGCGUUGAUAGUACCAGAAGAGGAAGAGACGGCUAACUCUGUGCCAGCAGCCGCGGUAAUACAGAGGUCUCAAGCGUUGUUCGGAUUCAUUGGGCGUAAAGGGUGCGUAGGCGGCGCGGUAAGUCGGGUGUGAAAUCUCGGGGCUUAACUCCGAAACUGCAUUCGAUACUACCGUGCUUGAGGACUGGAGAGGAGACUGGAAUUUACGGUGUAGCGGUGAAAUGCGUAGAUAUCGUAAGGAAGACCAGUGGCGAAGGCGGGUCUCUGGACAGUUCCUGACGCUGAGGCACGAAGGCCAGGGGAGCAAACG